UACAGAGGGUGCGAGCGUUGUUCGGAAUUAUUGGGCGUAAAGGGCGCGUAGGCGGUGCGGCAAGUCACCUGUGAAAUCUCCUGGCUCAACUGGGAGCUUGCAGGCGAAACUGCCGUGCUGGAGUGUGGGAGAGGUGCGUGGAAUUCCUGGUGUAGCGGUGAAAUGCGUAGAUAUCGGAAGGAACACCAGUGGCGAAAGCGGCUUCCUGGUCCAGCACCGACGUUCAGGCACGAAAGCGUGGGGAGCAAACAGG
rnacentral:rRNA from 1 species